AAAAAAUUCCUUGCCCCAGCUUAUUGGAUGUUUUUGAACAGCUAUCAUCACCAGGACUUUUUGAUGAAGAUUUGCCUUCAUGAAGAUUCUCGAGUGGUGCUAUGCUCAGAGCUCAUGGGAGACCUUAAUGGCUCAAUUACUGUCGUGCCUAUCAAUAUCCCAUUAUUCCUUCUUCAAGCACAUCAUUUUCAAACUGAUGACAAACAUAUAGAAUGGCACUCUCUUUCGCUUCUAAGUGACUGAGAUGGCCAAAGCUGGAGAUCUACAUUGUGAAUGCGAUGCCUUCAACCUGUUGGUCAUGACAUGAGGUAGUAAUUCAUCAAUUAUGGACCUCAUUUGCUAUUCUGUCUCAUACUGCUUGCCUCUCAAAUUAGCUGCAAUUUAGUUGCAGAAAAUUGUCAGUCUGUCUUAUGACUGCUUAUUGUCUGUUAGUUGGCCUCUGCAAGCUACUUCCCACCCUUCUUGAAGUUGUAUCUUAGCUCCAUUACAUAGAACAUGAUUUUAUGAGAGUGCCUGUUCUCCAUUUGCAGUUAAAAAUCGUAUGUCUAGAAUGAUGCUCUUACUUCAAGAUUCAUAGUUAUUCCAAAAUUAUUGGGUCUAUAUGAUGUUGAGUAAAUCUUAUGUUGGUAGUCACUUGACCAAAAAUGAAGAAUAGCAUGAUGUUGUCCUUUUCAA